rnacentral:lncRNA from 1 species
CCAUAAUCUGUUAAACAUGUACAGUUUUUCCUGUACUUAAUGAAUUGCAGUGAAUCGUGCUUGGCCGUAAAAAAAACCGCUUCAGCAAGUAAAUGGACCAUUUGUGUUCAGUUUCGACAUCUGAAAGGCUAAAAGCAUAAGAAAAAGUUGAGAGAUGUUUUGCGUACUUUCGAAAAACUGAGGGACGGGAUUUUUUUUCUUAGUUUUUUCUAUAGAAUUAUAAAGAGUAAAAUGCAUUAGAAGUCCUAAUUCUUUUGUAAAGGUUCCAAGUUAGUCCUAAUUCUUUGAAACUGCACGUUUAAGUCCCAAUUGUUUCAUAAGUGGUUCAUCAUAGGUUC